ensembl:lncRNA
GGCCAAGAUUUGCGCAGUUAGCAUCUAUGUUGGCCUAAUGUUUUAGCUUAUAGCUCAGAGUUCUUAUAUAGCAACAGGCGGACCAUAAACAAUCAGUCUUCCCAAAAUCACGAGACAGUAAUGUCUAUCUUCAAUAAUCUCACUUUUGUUGAAGGUGUACGGAUGUUAGCACAGUUAGCUUUUCGCUGCGGUUAAUAUUUCCCUAUAGAAAAAGCUAAGUCACCGCUGUUGGCUUAGAGCGCGGCCUAAUGUUUUAUAUAGCAGAGCCGAGUAGCGCUGUUAGCUCGUCUAAAUAAUGUUGUAUUGAAACAGACUGACGGAGCCCCGUUACUGUUAGCUAGACAGACAUAUUAUAUAUUUAUGGAGCCCUACAGCUUUGCUAGACGCUGUUGGCCCGGAGCUACUGGGCUCCGAGUAGCCGAGCUAAUGUAGGCCCGUUAGACGUUAGCUUGUCCGGGCUAAUAGCUAACGCUAGCUGUUAGCUUGGCUACUCGGGAAUCCGGCGCCAAGUACCGGAUUAAUAUCGCUGAAACAGACCGACCAUAAACUAUUACAUUCAUUUUUCCGAAAUCAUGAGUAAUCGUGAUCAUGGGAGGGACAGAAAUAUCUAGCUUCAAUAAAAUCCACUUUUAUUAAUGAUUUCAGUAUGCUAAUGUAAGAUAUAACAGGUACUUACCUCUGAUGAGGUCAAAGGGUAUCGUGCAGAGUAGUGAUGGCUCGGUCGCGAACGAAUCAGUUCGAACGAACGAGUCUUUAACGCGAACGAACUGACCUGAUUCCCCGUUUCACUUCUCUCUCGUUCGUUCGUUCAUUCUCACAGACCAGUCACUGUGUUGUUCACUGUUCAGUUAUCAGAGUGGUGAGGAGGACUGAGAGCCAGCCAAUCGUAUGCUGGGUCUAGGACACUGUCGUCGAAUUUUAGCCAAUGAGAACCGUUUACAUAAAAAAAACCCCAUUUCAUUUCGUUCGUAGCUCUCGUUGUCGUUCGGUUAUGAUUCCUCUCCUGUCAUUCUCGUUCGUUCGUUCAUUCUCACAGACCAGUCACUGUGUUGUUCACUGUUCAGUUAUCAGAGUGGUGAGGAGGACUGAGAGCCAGCCAAUCGUAUGCUGGGUCUAGGACACUGUCGUCGAAUUUUAGCCAAUGAGAACCGUUUACAUAAAAAAAACCCCCCAUUUCAUUUCGUUCGUAGCUCUCGUUCUCGUUCGGUUAUGAUUCCUCUCCUGUCAUUCUCGUUCAGUUAGUCACUCGUUCUUGGCUAGCUGGCUUUAGCUGUUAGCUGCUAACUGUCGUGUUGUCCAAAAGUACACAUAAUCAUGUAGUUGCAGCUAUGUAUUUGCCAUUAACAGCUUGUUAUGUUGACCGUUAGCAUGAUCGUUUGAGAACGAGGAGCUGAGAACUGUGCAUUACAAUCACCGCCGUUGUACCGGAAGUGCGACUGAACGAAUGAACGAACGAACUACAUGAACGAGUCAUCCUGCCGAACUGACCGACGGAAACUGAAUCUCGACAUCGAACGAUGAAAUCCACCUCUAAUAAUAAUAAUAAGAAGAGGCACGAGGAAUAACAGCCUAUUAUUGUUAUUCCUCGCGUCUCUUCUUAUUAGUG